rnacentral:rRNA from 1 species
AUUGAACGCUGGCGGCAUGCCUUACACAUGCAAGUCGAACGGCAGCACGGGAGCAAUCCUGGUGGCGAGUGGCGAACGGGUGAGUAAUAUAUCGGAACGUGCCCAGUCGUGGGGGAUAACGCAGCGAAAGCUGUGCUAAUACCGCAUACGAUCUACGGAUGAAAGCGGGGGAUCGCAAGACCUCGCGCGAUUGGAGCGGCCGAUAUCAGAUUAGCUAGUUGGUGGGGUAAAGGCCCACCAAGGCGACGAUCUGUAGCUGGUCUGAGAGGACGACCAGCCACACUGGGACUGAGACACGGUCCAGAUUCCUACGGGAGGCAGCAGUGGGGAAUUUUGGACAAUGGGCGCAAGCCUGAUCCAGCAAUGCCGCGUGCAGGAUGAAGGCCUUCGGGUUGUAAACUGCUUUUGUACGGAACGAAACGGCCCUUUCUAAUACAGGGGGCUAAUGACGGUACCGUAAGAAUAAGCACCGGCUAACUACGUGCCAGCCGCCGCCGUAAAAC